rnacentral:rRNA from 1 species
GAAGUUUUCAGAGAUGAGAGUGUGCCUUCGGGAACCGUGAGACAGGUGCUGCAUGGCUGUCGUCAGCUCGUGUUGUGAAAUGUUGGGUUAAGUCCCGCAACGAGCGCAACCCUUAUCCUUUGUUGCCAGCGGUCCGGCCGGGAACUCAAAGGAGACUGCCAGUGAUAAACUGGAGGAAGGUGGGGAUGACGUCAAGUCAUCAUGGCCCUUACGACCAGGGCUACACACGUGCUACAAUGGCGCAUACAAAGAGAAGCGACCUCGCGAGAGCAAGCGGACCUCAUAAAGUGCGUCGUAGUCCGGAUUGGAGUCUGCAACUCGACUCCAUGAAGUCGGAAUCGCUAGUAAUCGUGGAUCAGAAUGCCACGGUGAAUACGUUCCCGGGCCUUGUACACACCGCCCGUCACACCAUGGGAGUGGGUUGCAAAAGAAGUAGGUAGCUUAACCUUCGGGAGGGCGCUUACCACUUUGUGAUUCAUGACUGGGGUGAAGUCGUAACAAGGUAACCGUAGGGGAACCUGCGGUUGGAUCACCUCCUUA